rnacentral:rRNA from 1 species
GACGAACGCUGGCGGCGUGCUUAACACAUGCAAGUCGAGCGGUAAGGCCUUUCGGGGUACACGAGCGGCGAACGGGUGAGUAACACGUGGGUGAUCUGCCCUGCACUUCGGGAUAAGCCUGGGAAACUGGGUCUAAUACCGGAUAUGACCUCCUAUCGCAUGGUGGGUGGUGGAAAGAUUUAUCGGUGCAGGAUGGGCCCGCGGCCUAUCAGCUUGUUGGUGGGGUAAUGGCCUACCAAGGCGACGACGGGUAGCCGGCCUGAGAGGGUGACCGGCCACACUGGGACUGAGACACGGCCCAGACUCCUACGGGAGGCAGCAGUGGGGAAUAUUGCACAAUGGGCGAAAGCCUGAUGCAGCGACGCCGCGUGAGGGAUGACGGCCUUCGGGUUGUAAACCUCUUUCAGCAGGGACGAAGCGCAAGUGACGGUACCUGCAGAAGAAGCACCGGCUAACUACGU